rnacentral:misc_RNA from 1 species
AAGUCAUUUCACCCAACAUGGUCUUCUGAUGCAAUUAAGUCUGCUCUAAUGACAACAGGUAAUGUCUAUGAAUGUUUCCAUGAAUGCUAUUUUCCAAAUGGAUCUCAAAAGCAUAAUUUUAUGGCAUGAAUCCCCAGCAAGUAACUAACUCCUAGAAUUUAACCUUCCAUUGCAGCAUAUCCCAUGAAUCCUGACAAAAACCCAGACGCAGAGUUUGCUUAUGGAUCAGGU